GCAGUCGUGGCCGAGUGGUUAAGGCGAUGGUCUUGAAAACCAUUCGGUUCUUCCCGCGCAGGUUCGAACCCUGCUGACUGCG
rnacentral:tRNA from 1 species